rnacentral:rRNA from 1 species
AGAGUUUGAUCCUGGCUCAGAACGAACGCUGGCGGCAGGCUUAACACAUGCAAGUCGAGCGCCCUCUUCGGAGGGAGCGGCAGACGGGUGAGUAACGCGUGGGAACAUACCUUUCGGUUCGGAAUAGCCCCGGGAAACUGGGUGUAAUACCGAAUACGUCCUUAGGGAGAAAGAUUUACCGCCGAAAGAUUGGCCCGCGUUAGAUUAGAUAGUUGGUGAGGUAACGGCUCACCAAGUCGACGAUCUAUAGCUGAUUUGAGAGGAUGAUCAGCCACACUGGGACUGAGACACGGCCCAGACUCCUACGGGAGGCAGCAGUGAGGAAUCUUGGACAAUGGGCGCAAGCCUGAUCCAGCCAUGCCGCGUGAAUGAUGAAGGCCUUAGGGUUGUAAAAUUCUUUCAGCAGGGAAGAUAAUGACGGUACCUGCAAAAGAAGCCCCGGCUAACUCCGUGCCAGCAGCCGCGGUAAUACGGAGGGGGCUAGCGUUGUUCGGAAUUACUGGGCGUAAAGCGCUCGUAGGCGGAUUGGUCAGUCAGAGGUGAAAGCCCAGGGCUCAACCUUGGAAUUGCCUUUGAUACUGCCAGUCUUGAGUUCAGGAGAGGUAAGCGGAAUUCCGAGUGUAGAGGUGAAAUUCGUAGAUAUUCGGAGGAACACCAGAGGCGAAAGGCGGCUUACUGGACUGAUACUGACGCUGAGGAGCGAAAGCGUGGGGAGCAAACAGGAUUAGAUACCCUGGUAGUCCACGCCGUAACGAUGAGAGCUAGUUGUCUGGCAGCAUGCUGUUAGGUGACGCAGCUAACGCAUUAAGCUCUCCGCCUGGGGAGUACGGCGCAGGUAAAACUCAAGAAUUUGACGGGGCCGCACAGCGGUGGAGCAUGUGGUUUAUUCGAGCACGCGCAGACUACUACCUUGACAUUUGGUGGCUACAUCAGAGAUGGUGUCCUCUUUCGAGGCGCCAGAAAAGAUACUGCAUGGCUGUUCGUUCACCUUCUUGUCUUGGAUGAUAGGUUUAGAAUACGCACACAAGCAACACAUUCCGUUAUUUGCCUCCAGGUGGCUGGGGACUCUCACGUAACGCCGCGUUAUGUCUCGAAAAUGAUAUAUCUCAGAU